rnacentral:rRNA from 1 species
UUACCUACUCUUGACAUCCAUAGAAUUUGGCAGAGAUGCCUUAGUGCCUUCGGGAACUAUGAGACAGGUGCUGCAUGGCUGUCGUCAGCUCGUGUUGUGAAAUGUUGGGUUAAGUCCCGUAACGAGCGCAACCCUUGUCCUUAUUUGCCAGCGAGUAAUGUCGGGAACUUUAAGGAGACUGCCGGUGACAAACCGGAGGAAGGUGGGGACGACGUCAAGUCAUCAUGGCCCUUACGAGUAGGGCUACACACGUGCUACAAUGGCGCAUACAGAGGGCUGCGAACUUGCGAGAGUAAGCGAAUCCCAUAAAGUGCGUCGUAGUCCGGAUUGGAGUCUGCAACUCGACUCCAUGAAGUCGGAAUCGCUAGUAAUCGUGAAUCAGAAUGUCACGGUGAAUACGUUCCCGGGCCUUGUACACACCGCCCGUCACACCAUGGGAGUUGAUUGCUCCAGAAGUAGCUAGCUUAACCCUUCGGGGAGGGCGGUUACCACGGAGUGGUCAAUGACUGGGGUGAAGUCGUAACAAGGUAGCCCUAGGGGAACCUGGGGCUGGAUCACCUCCUUA